AGCUUGCUCUUUUCAGAAUUGAGUGGCAAACGGGUGAGUAACACGUAAACAACCUGCCUUCAGGAUGGGGACAACAGACGGAAACGACUGCUAAUACCGCAUGAUACAUUUGGGUGGCAUCCCUGAGACGUCAAAGAUUUAUCGCUGAAAGAUGGCCUCGCGUCUGAUUAGCUGGUUGGUGAGGUAACGGCCCACCAAGGCGACGAUCAGUAGCCGGACUGAGAGGUUGACCGGCCACAUUGGGACUGAGAUACGGCCCAGACUCC
rnacentral:rRNA from 1 species